AUGCACGGCGCUCCAUCCUGCCGAUUCCCCAUCGUCUCCCACUGCCGCCAACCACAUCUUCGCCUUUGUUCUCCCAUAGCACGCCGCCGAGCUUCCCGCUCCCCUCCUCGCAGCUCCACAACUGCCAGAUCUGCCGCUCUCCGACCCCUACGUCCUCGAGGUCGACUAGAUCCGCCCCUCCCGCUAUCUGAAGCUCGCCGCGACCCCUUGCUCGUGGCUAGGGUUUCGGCUGCGGUGCUGCGUCCAUCGACGGUGCGUCUCAGGCGGCACCUCUCCGUCGCCCACCCCGGGCUCCGCGCAAGUUCAUCCGCUCCGGUACCUCGAGGAGUUCGCGCGGCGGUUUGA
rnacentral:rRNA from 1 species